UAUUGGACAAUGGGCGAAAGCCUGAUCCAGCAACGCCGCGUGAGGGAUGACGGCCUUCGGGUUGUAAACCUCUUUCAGCGCCGACGAAGCGAGAGUGACGGUAGGCGCAGAAGAAGCACCGGCCAACUACGUGCCAGCAGCCGCGGUAAUACGUAGGGUGCGAGCGUUGUCCGGAAUUAUUGGGCGUAAAGGGCUCGUAGGCGGUUUGUCGCGUCGGGAGUGAAAACCCAGGGCUUAACCCUGGGCCUGCUUCCGAUACGGGCAGACUAGAGGUAUGCAGGGGAGAACGGAAUUCCUGGUGUAGCGGUGAAAUGCGCAGAUAUCAGGAGGAACACCGGUGGCGAAGGCGGUUCUCUGGGCAUUACCUGACGCUGAGGAGCGAAAGUGUGGGGAGCGAACAGG
rnacentral:rRNA from 1 species